GCUUUUGUUCUGUUCUCACCGGAAAAGAGCCCAACAACCCAGCAGGGUGUUCCGAGUAGCCGCCGCCAAUGGAGAUCGGAAAAUCAAGCCUCCGUCUACACAGUCGCCUUUCUCUUCCCAAUCUCCGCUUCAUCGCUUUCUCAUCUUCAUUUUCGACUUCAACUCCAGCAGUAGACUUCCUAAACGACGCCGUCGAAGACGACAACGAUUCCUCCACCACCACCUCUUCCUCCUCCAAACCCACCACCGUUACUUCAUCCUUAUCACCAGCAGAAUCCCUUGUUGCGGAAAAGCUCCACUCUUUAAUCAAAAACCACCAUCGCAAAAACCCUACCUUAAACCCUAAUCCCAAUUCCCCGAACCCCAUAAACCCUGAUCUCACUCUCCCAACUCUCUCCUUCGAUUUAUCCAAAAUCUCCCCCGUCCACUCACUCUCUCCGGCCGUCAUUGUUCACGUAAUCGAGAAAUGUAGAUCCGUUCGUCACGGCAUACCCUUUUCUCAGACCUUGGCGUUCUUCAACUGGGCCAUUUCCCGUUCCGAAACCCUCAUUUCCCAUGAGCCUUAUAACGAGAUGAUUGACCUGGCCGGAAAGGUACGCCAAUUUGACGUCGCUUGGCAUUUGAUUAAUUUGAUGAGGAGUAAAAAUGUUGAAAUCCCAAUUGAAACUUUUUCGAUUUUGAUUCGCCGGUAUGUUCGUGCUGGCUUGGCUAAUGAGGCUGUGCAUGCCUUUAAUCGGAUGGAGGAUUAUGAUUGUAAGCCCGAUAGGAAUGCGUUUUCGAAGGUGAUUAGUGUUCUCUGUAAGAAGAGAAGGGCUGUUGAAGCUCAGUCAUUUUUUGAUAGUUUGAAAGAUAGGUUUGAGGCUGAUGUGGUAGUGUAUACUAGCUUAGUGCACGGGUGGUGCAGGGCUGGCAACAUGUCUGAGGCUGAGAGGGUUUUUGGUGAAAUGAAGGCAGCUGGGAUUCAACCCAAUGUGUAUACUUAUAGUAUUGUUAUCGAUGGUUUAUGUAGGUGUGGGCAAAUUACGCGUGCCCAUGAUGUUUUUGCUGAGAUGAUUGAUGUUGGAUGUGAGCCAAAUGCGAUCACUUUUAACAAUCUUAUGCGAGUACAUGUGAAAGCAGGGAGGACUGAGAAGGUGUUGCAAGUUUAUAAUCAGAUGAAGAGGCUAUCUUGUGUGCCGGAUGUGAUAACUUACAAUUUUUUGAUAGAGACUCAUUGUAGGGAUGGGAAUCGCGAGGAUGCGAUUAAAGUGUUAAAUUCGAUGGUUUAUAAAGGGUGUGAACCUAAUGUUCAUAGUUUUAACCCGAUUUUUAGGUGCAUUGCCAAGUCGGGGGAUGUCAAUGCUGCUCAGCGGUUGUUUGCAAGGAUGAAGGAAUUAAAGUGUCAAACUAAUACUGUGACAUAUAACAUUCUGAUGCAGAUGUUUGCUGAUUCAAAAUCUACAGACAUGAUUAUCAAGCUUAAGAAGGAAAUGGAUGAGAGUGAAGUUGAGCCUAACGUGAACACUUACAAAAUUUUGAUUUCAAUGUACUGCAAAAUGGGACAUUGGAAUAAUGCAUACAAGUAUUUUAGAGAGAUGAUAGAGCAGAAGUAUCUAAAACCAAGUCAGCAAGUUUACCAAAUGGUCUUGGAACAGCUUAGGAAGUCUGGCCAGAUGAAGAUGCAUGAGGAGCUGGUGGAGAAGAUGGUUUAUAGGGGAUUUGCUUCUCGUCCCUUGUAAAGGAUAGUUAAAAGUGGCUCAACCAGUUGAAUUUGGUGAUGGAUGACAACUGGUGAGCGCCGGAAUGGUGAUUUUGAACCUUCUCAUGAGGCAUCUUGGUUUGGAGCUCACGUCAUCUGUGGCAGUCCAACAUACGAGACAUCCUUUCUGCACCUCAAGCAGCUGCUAAUGGGGUGCUUCAUUGUUGGAAAACCCAGAGAACGAUGAAAUGUGUAGAUAAUUGCACUAUUUGGCUUCAAAAGAAGCUUGGCAAUUGGGAGUUUCUUCUUUAUCUGUACGUCGCUUUGCAUUGGAAGUUCUAAUGCAGCUUUCCUUAGUCUGUUUCUUUGUAGGGUAGAGAAGGGUUAUGUUUGCAGUAGGUGACAAGGAUUGUGAGAAAGUGCAGAAAUGUUUUAGCUAUUGUACUUCGGGCUGUAUCAUUUGUGGAACUAGCAUUACAUUUUGUCUCCAUGAAAUCAGGCUUACCUGUUUGGCAGUGUGCUGCUAGCAGUCUUUCCUGGAACAUGAGCGCAUUGAAUAUAAUUAAGACUUGGUUGUCUAUAACUUGGCUGCCACAACAUAGCCAAAGCAACGAGGAAGGCUAUUAUUGGACCGUUAAGGAAUGGUUUAUGUUUUAAUCAUUGAACAAUAAUCUAAACCUCAUUUAAACUUGACCAAAAGUUUCAUCCUAUUUGUAAAUUUUAAAUCUUCCUACUCCCACUGUCAAUUUCCCCUAUGUUUUAUUGUAUAGAAUUACAAGUGGUUGCAAAA